rnacentral:tRNA from 1 species
UGGGAUGUGGCUUAGUGGUAGAGUGCUUGCCUAUCGUGCCCAACUGGGUUCAAUCCCUGGCAUCUCAA